CCCGCUGAACUUAAGCAUAUCAAUAAGCGGAGGAAAAGAAACUAACAAGGAUUCCCCUAGUAACGGCGAGUGAAGAGGGAAGAGCUCAAAUUUUGAAUCUGGCGUCUCUGGCGUCCGAAUUGUAAUCUAGAGAAGUGUUUUCCGUGACGGACCGUGCACAAGUCUCCUGGAAUGGAGCGUCAUAGAGGGUGAGAAUCCCGUAUAUGGCAUGGACUCCCGUUGCUCUGUGAUACACUCUCGACGAGUCGAGUUGUUUGGGAAUGCAGCUCCAAAUGGGUGGUAAAUGCCAUCUAAAGCUAAAUACUGGCGAGAGACCGAUAGCGAACAAGUACCGUGAGGGAAAGAUGAAAAGCACUUUGGAAAGAGAGUGAAACAGUACGUGAAAUUGUUGAAAGGGAAACGCUUGAAGUCAGUCGCGCCGUUCGGGAUUCAGCCUUGCUUCUGCUCGGUUUACUUCCCGUUGGGUGGGUCAACAUCAGCUUCGAUCGGAGGAGAAAGGCUUGGGGAAGGUAGCAGCAUGCGUGCUGUGUUAUAGCCCCUUGUUGUAUACUUCGAUUGGGACUGAGGACCGCAGCACGCCUCUGGCCGGGGUUCGCCCACGUACGUGCUUAGGAUGUUGGCAUAAUGGCUUUAAGCGACCCGUCUUGAAACACGG
rnacentral:rRNA from 1 species